AACGAACGCUGGCGGCAUGCCUAACACAUGCAAGUCGAACGGGAUCCAGGCUUCGGCCUGGUGAGAGUGGCGGACGGGUGAGUAACACGUGGGAACCUGCCUUUUGGUUCGGGAUAACCGCGGGAAACUGCGGCUAAUACCGGAUGCUCCCGAGAGGGGAAAGAUUUAUCGCCAGAAGAGGGGCCCGCGUCCAAUUAGGUAGUUGGUGAGGUAAUGGCUCACCAAGCCUACGAUCGGUAGCUGGUCUGAGAGGAUGAUCAGCCACACUGGGACUGAGAUACGGCCCAGACUCCUACGGGAGGCAGCAGUGGGGAAUAUUGGACAAUGGGGGCAACCCUGAUCCAGCAAUACCGCGUGUGUGAAGAAGGCC
rnacentral:rRNA from 1 species